GGUUGGGAGGCCAUGGCGUCAGCACUAUCCUAGACUGCGGUGGUUAUUUUGUGUCGGGCAGCAGAAAGCAGAGGCCGCAUUAAGAUAUAGACCGUGGUGAUUACUUUGACAUCCUUACAGCGUGCAGUGCUGUGAAGAGCUGUGAGGAACAAAUUGUUGGAGAUGUUGUCCAGGUGACCUCUGAAUUUCAGCCAAGGGCCAGCAGCAGAGAUGUGGUCUGUAGUGCACUUCCCCUUUACCUAUGUCCAAAUUCCAGGAUAAUGAAUAAUGGAGGCUUUCCUGUCAAUCAAUACAUGUUGAAAUGCCAAGAUGUGAAAAGACAGGCAUCCUUAAGAUUAGGUUCUUUGGAUUCAUCUUGUCAAAAGGAGACAACAACUGCAAACGCUGUGAUUCUGGGCUAACAUCAACAGACACACUAGAUCCAUCACUUGGAGGUGCCUGGAGCAAACAUUGAGGUUGUAAAGUCAGAUUUUAAAUG